rnacentral:rRNA from 1 species
AACGAACGCUGGCGGCAGGCUUAACACAUGCAAGUCGAACGCAUCCUUCGGGGUGAGUGGCAGACGGGUGAGUAACGCGCGGGAACGUGCCCUUCAGUUCGGGAUAACCCAGGGAAACUUGGGCUAAUACCGGAUACGUGCGAGAGCAGAAGGAUUUAUCGCUGAAGGAUCGGCCCGCGUCUGAUUAGCUAGUUGGUGGGGUAAUGGCCCACCAAGGCGACGAUCAGUAGCUGGUCUGAGAGGAUGAUCAGCCACAUUGGGACUGAGACACGGCCCAAACUCCUACGGGAGGCAGCAGUGGGGAAUAUUGGACAAUGGGCGCAAGCCUGAUCCAGCCAUGCCGCGUGAGUGAUGAAGGCCUUAGGGUUGUAAAGCUCUUUCGUCCGGGACGAUAAUGACGGUACCGGAAGAAGAAGCCCCGGCUAACUUCGUGCCAGCAGCCGCCGUAA